rnacentral:rRNA from 1 species
AUUGAACGCUGGCGGCAUGCCUUACACAUGCAAGUCGAACGGCAGCACGGGAGCAAUCCUGGUGGCGAGUGGCGAACGGGUGAGUAAUGCAUCGGAACGUGCCCAGUCGUGGGGGAUAACUGCUCGAAAGAGCAGCUAAUACCGCAUACGACCUGAGGGUGAAAGCGGGGGACCGUAAGGCCUCGCGCGAUUGGAGCGGCCGAUGUCAGAUUAGGUAGGUGGUGGGGUAAAGGCCUACCAAGCCUGCGAUCUGUAGUUGGUCUGAGAGGACGAGCAGCCACGCUGGGACUGAGCAACGGCCCAGACUCCUACGGGAGGCAGCAGUGGGGAAUUUUGGACAAUGGGCGCAAGCCUGAUCCAGCAAUGCCGCGUGCAGGAAGAAGGCCUUCGGGUUGUAAACUGCUUUUGUCAGGGAAGAAAUCCUCUGGGCUAAUACCUCGGGGGGAUGACGGUACCUGAAGAAUAAGCACCGGCUAACUACGUGCCAGCCGCCGCAGUAAAAC